rnacentral:lncRNA from 1 species
GUUUUAUCAAAAAAUUUUAUUAAAAAAUAAAUAAAUAUUGUUUUGAUUUAUUUUUAAAUUUAAUUUAUAAAGUACAUCCACUAUAGUAUAUUUAAAAAUAUUAUUAUUUAAAAUACAGGCAAUCCCCAAGUUACAUAGAGUACGAUUUAGCAAAAUGAUCCACCUAAGUCAAAAUAUAUAUGUUAGAAGCAUACAUUAAUAUUAUAUAAUGUGUUACAAUGAUCUAACACUAAAAAUGGUUAUAUUAAAGAAUAAGCACUUUAGUAAAGCAAUCUCUUAUUGUCUUGGAGGAUCUGAACUCAAUUCCAAGUCCCACAUCUCCAGUUUUUCUGGAGGGAUUUGGCUUGGCUCUGCUCAUUAUCUAAAAAUAAUCUUACAUAAGUACGGAUUUAUGCAUGUUGGAUAUAUGUAAGUUGGGGAUUGUCUACAUAAGUGAAAUCUUAAUUAUCUGAUCUAUAUGGGAAAGACUGAUUUGAAUAAGCCAAAAAUUUGGAUAAUGUAGGGUAUUUAUGUUCUAAUAACC